GGGAACUGUAGUCCGGCGCACGUGCACGCAGACGCGCUCCAAGCUAUUGGUCCUUGGCGGCCUUGGUGUUUCCACUCAGCCGGUGACUUCUGCCAGCAAUGCAAACCUGACUGUAACAACAGGUGUGACCUCUAGCAUCCUAAGAUACCCUUCCUCACAUACAUAUGCCAGGACACACCUUCCAAAUAACCUUACAAGAAAAUCUGACAUGGACACCAUCUUGGAGAGAACCCUACCACACUUUACAUUCCCCAGAUGUCCCCACCAGACUGGCUCAGCUGAAAACACUUGUGAUCUCAGGAGAAACUGACCUUCGGGCAUGUGGUUAUGGACUGGACUGAGGAGUGGGAGCAACUGGAGCCUUCCGGGAGGACGUUGUUCCACGAUGAUAUGCUGGAGUCCUUGGGUCCUCCUUCAGUCAGCAUGAGCAGACACAUACAGGUGAGAAGCCCUAUCAAUGCAGUGAGUGUGGGAAGCCCUUCAACCAGAGCACACUCCUAACCGAGCACCAGAGGAUUCACACUUGAGAGAAGCCCUAUGGAUGCAACAAGUGUGGGAAAGCAUUCAGCCACAGUUGCUCUCUCAGCCAGCACGAGCGUUCACACACAGGAGAGAAACCCUGAAAGUGCAGUCAGUGAAGGAAAGCUUUCAGGCAGAGCCCUCACCUCACCCAGCACCAGAGAAUCCACACUGGGAAGAAGUCUUACAAAUGCAGUGACUGCGGCAAGACUUUUAGCCAGUGUUCAUCUGUAACAAAACAUCAGCGAAUCCACACUGGUUAAAAACCCUAUGAAUGCAAUGAGUAUAGCCAAGCCUUUGGCCAGCUUGCUCCUCUUGUUCAGCAUCAGAGGAUCCACAUAGGAGAGAAGCCCUAUGAAUGUAAUGAGUGUGGCAGAGCCUUCAGCCAGAGCUCCCUCCUCAUAGAACACCAGAGGAUUCACACCAAGAAAAAGCCCUACAGGUGCAAUGAAUGUCAAUGAAUGCCUUCGGUCACAGCUCAUCCCUCAGCCAGCAUGAAAGGGCACACACUGGCAAAAAGCCCUACGAAUAUCAGGACUGUGGAAAGUCCUUCAGGCAGAGUACCCACCUCAGUCAGCACUGGAGGAUCCACAUGGGAGAGAGGUCAUAUGAGUGCAGGGACUGUGGCAAGGCAUUCACACACAGCUCCUCCCUUGCCAAAUACCAGAGAACUCAUACUGGGUAGAUCUACUCCACCUGGGGAAGCCUUAACCCAUAGCCCAUCCCAUGUUAGACUAGAUCUUGUCCUCAUGGAAAACAACACAAAUACAUUUAUAAAUCAGCCUUCACAUCCCACACACUCUUAAGGGUUCACAAAUGACUGGGAAUGCAAAGCUCCAGGUCAUGCAUCACCAGAUCUUAACAGGAAAAUGUGGAGAUAAUCAACACUGAGAUC